GCUUCCACGACGAAGACUUUGCCGAUCGCCUGUGUGAGUAUUUGUGGAGGAAAUUCUGCAAAUCUCACACAAUUCAUCUUAUGGAUUCCUUGAUCGCAGCAAUCAAGGAGCAAUACGUUUUCGAAUAAGGUAAGUUGAACUUAGUCACUUAAACGAACCAAUCAGAUGAUGGGUAGAAACAAUAUGGCGUCAUUCUAACCUCUGAAAUGUCACUAAAUACGUACAUUUUUAAACACUUGUAUUUCUUAAACUAUUGGUUUCCUGGACUUUUAACUUGGAUUUUCUAAAACUUCAGGUCAAAAACUACAAAAAAAAGGACCCCUUAAUUUGUGGUCCCCCAAAACGAAAUUUUACUUCUAUGUUUUCUCCAUAAGUCUUCUUUGCUUCUAAAUGUUUUAAUCCUUUUUCUAAUCAGCGUGAACAAUGGAAUAUUACAGUUGGAAUAUUAAACAUUUCAUUGAUGGGGAAAUUACAACCAAGAAAUGAUGGUGUAUCAAAGUUGAAUAGAUACAUUGAAGGUACUUUCCAGUGUAGAAUGAAAUACUAGGACGAACGACAAAGACGUACUCUGCAAACAGAUGCAAUUACUUUCUUGCAUGAUAUAUCUGGAAAUAUGUUUAAGUAUUUAUUCAGACAUUCAUGAGGAAAUUACAAGCAUAAAAUUAUGGAGCAGAAAAGUUGAAUAGAUUCAUUACAGAUAUUUUCCAGCAUGGAAUUAAAUACUAGGACAUAUAACAAAAACAUACUACGCAAGCAGAUGCAAUUAUUUUCUUGCAAGAUAUAUGUGGAAAUAUGUUUAAGGAUUCAUUCAGACAUUGAUGAGGAAUUUCCAACCAAAAAAUGAUGGAGUAGAAAAGUUGAAUAAUUUCUGCACUGUAUCUAUUUAAUACUUCUACUCCAUAAUAUCUCUGAUGCAAUUUUCCCCUCUGUUUACGAUUUUAUGACUGGCUGUUGCCGCAAUAUUAUGCCGCUAGUGAGUCGGGUUUUUAAAUAAAUGUGCUGCACUUUUGAGUAGGACACAGCUUAAUAAAUAUAAGAACCGCUUACCGCGGAGGUCGGUUUAUUACAGAUUACUGUUCGCGCAACACGUACAAACUUCAAAAAAUCACUGUAUUCGCUCGCCAAGGUUCGUCUAUAAUUGUUCUAAACGCCUUUGUUGUUCCGGCUGUUUUAUAGAUUCCGGUUGACACACGGAUUUGUUUCACGGAGCUCCCGUGCGCCAAUUAGGGGGCUCCGUGACCUUUUUAUUUCCAUAUUUGGUAAUAUGCUUUCGCGGCUGUCUGUGUGUGAGGGCCUGACACUCUCCGUGCCGGGCCGGAGAGCGGGGCGCGGAGGCCGGGGUCAGGCCUUUUUUCGUCUCCGCAUUCGACAGUUUUUUGCGGUUUAGCGCGAGACUAUUCUAGGACGGUUUUUAUUUCUUCCAAUUUGUUGAAACGUGUUUUCCGGCUCUGUAUUUUCUUGUUGUUAUAAUAAACGUUAAAUUUAAAUAUUAAUGAUUUUUUGUAACGCUUUCUUUCGUAAACACCCUCCGUGUCUAUUCAAACGCUGAAAAUAAAGAAGAAGAAAUCAU